AAUGAACGCUGGCGGCGCGCCUAAUACAUGCAAGUCGAGCGAGAAGACGUAGCAAUACGUUUGUAAAGCGGCGAACGGGUGAGGAAUACAUGGGUAACCUACCCUAGAGUGGGGAAUAACUAGCCGAAAGGUUAGCUAAUACCGCGUACGCUCCUUGGACUUCGGUUCAGGGAGGAAAGCGAUGCCGAGGGUAUCGCGCUCUUGGAUGGGCUCAUGUCCUAUCAGCUUGNGGUGAGGUAACGGCUCACCAAGGCUUCGACGGGUAGCUGGUCUGAGAGGACGAUCAGCCACACUGGCACUGCGACACGGGCCAGACUCCUACGGGAGGCAGCAGUAAGGAAUAUUGCGCAAUGGGCGAAAGCCUGACGCAGCGACGCCGC
rnacentral:rRNA from 1 species